UCUUACCUUAGACAAGGCCACAGUCAAAGUGGAAGUUCUGUCCUCCCUUCAAAGAAUGGUACCUCCUACUUUGAAGGCUCGUUCUUGAUAUGGAAGAAACUUAAAGAGACUGGGCCUCAAGGAAGGUAAUUGAGUCAUCAGGACAUCAUCUUGGCAGGUGGAGUAAGAUCUGUGAGUUACAAACAGAGCCACUGAAUCUCUGGCUCCUCUUGUUAUGUGACCUCAUCAAUGUGUGCUCCACCACCACGAUGCCACCCACAAGGAGGCUCUCUCCAGAGACUGAACACAUGAGGCCACCCAACCUUGGACUUUCAGCCUCCAAAAGUGACAAGGAGUAUUCUGUACUUGUUCCUGGAGUAUACCUUGUGUACACUGUGGCCAAUCAACUGUGAGAACAUGUACAGGCUAACUUGUUGGAGGGAUGUUAAGGGAACAUGGACUCAAGCCCAGGAAAUCUAAGACAAACCAACUGCAUCUCAUUCCCAAACAUGCCGGAGAGCUCAGUCAAGAUCAGCAAAGCCACAUGUCCAACGGCAGUUCACCGCAGAUGAAUGAGAGAAUCUACAUAAAACCAGAAGAACCGCCAAGUCAAUCUGAAGGCUCAUGAACAAUAUAGUACAUGAUUUAUUACAUAUUGCUACAUAGCAAUAACUAACAAAUGCAAUGGGUAACUAUGAGAAAUAAAUAAUACACAUAGUAACCAUUUAAGUUUUAAACUAAGUUUCAUCCUCUUCCUGGUCCUUAUCUUGUCUCCUAUCACACAAACACUGCGUGCUGGGAACCUGUCACCCAGCUGGAACACUCCCUUCCCAUUGCUCACUCCUUGGGAAUCUUUUCUACAAAAAAACUGCAGGCAUCAUUGACAUUUAGGUCAGGGAUUGUCUGUUUUCUGUGCCAGAGUUUCGGUAAAAUUUGCUCUAGGAUUCCCAAGUAAAAUCUCAAGACCCAUGUUUCUUUGGGAACAAUGUUAAAUGUGAUGGCAGUAUACAAUGUGGUAUGAGAAUGUGCCUUCAGUUGAAGAGGGGUUGCCUGAGUGCUCAUAAGCUGACAAAAAUACCAUUACCACACACACACACACACACACACACACAGCCCUGAUUCUGGUCAGCCUGCCAGCCACUACUCUUCCAGAAUACAAAGAAAUCAUUUGGAGGACAACCUGUAGUAACGUCUUUAAGUCUCUGAAACCAAGAGUCAUAAAACCAUCCGUAGCAGGAAGCAUUCAACAUCCAUUACA